rnacentral:rRNA from 1 species
CUACGGGGGGCAGCAGUGAGGAAUAUUGCACAAUGGAGGAAACUCUGAUGCAGCAACGCCGCGUGGAGGAUGACGCAUUUCGGUGUGUAAACUCCUUUUAUAUGUCAAGAAAAUGACGGUAGUAUAUGAAUAAGCACCGGCUAACUCCGUGCCAGCAGCCGCGGUAAUACGGAGGGUGCAAGCGUUACUCGGAAUCACUGGGCGUAAAGGACGCGUAGGCGGGAUAUCAAGUCAGGUGUGAAAUCCUACAGCUUAACUGUAGAACUGCACUUGAAACUGGUAACCUAGAGUAUGGGAGGGGGAGAUGGAAUUAGUGGUGUAGGGGUAAAAUCCGUAGAUAUCACUAGGAAUACCUAAAGCGAAGGCGAUCUCCUGGAACAUUACUGACGCUAAGGCGUGAAAGCGUGGGGAGCAAACAGGAUUAGAUACCCUCGUAGUC